AUUCUAAACCUAAUACAUGCACCAACCCCCAACUUCUGGAAGGGGUGUAUUUAUUAAAUUGAAACCAAUGCGGGGCAACCCGGAUUCUGGUGAUUCAAAAUAACUUUCGGAUCGACCUCGGUCAAUCCAUCAUUCAAUUUUCUGCCCUAACGCCUUUGGAUGGUAGGGUAUUGGCCUACCAUGGCUUUAACGGGUAACGGAUAAUUCGGGUUCGAUUCCGGAGAGGGAGCCUGACAAAUGCCUACCACAUCCAAGGAAGGCAGCAGGCGCGUAAAUUACCCAAUCCGGACACAGGGAGGUAGUGACAAUAAAUAACACUGCCGGGCUUUUCUAAGUCUGGCAAUUGAAAUGAGAACAAUUUAAAUCCCUUAUCAAGGAUCAAUU
rnacentral:rRNA from 1 species